UACGUAGGUGGCAAGCGUUAUCCGGAAUUAUUGGGCGUAAAGCGCGCGCAGGCGGUCUCUUAAGUCUGAUGUGAAAGCCCACGGCUCAACCGUGGAGGGUCAUUGGAAACUGGGAGACUUGAGUGCAGAAGAGAAGAGCGGAAUUCCACGUGUAGCGGUGAAAUGCGUAGAGAUGUGGAGGAACACCAGUGGCGAAGGCGGCUCUUUGGUCUGUAACUGACGCUGAGGCGCGAAAGCGUGGGGAGCAAACAGG
rnacentral:rRNA from 1 species